rnacentral:tRNA from 1 species
UCCGAUAUGGUGUAGUGGUUAACAUUCGGCACUCUCGAUGCUGGGCCCGGGGUUCGAUUCCCCGUAUCGGAA